CUUAAUUCCUAUGACAAAAACU
rnacentral:snRNA from 1 species